rnacentral:misc_RNA from 1 species
GAUGAAGAACGUAGCGAAAUGCGAUAAGUAAUGUGAAUUGCAGAAUUCAGUGAAUCAUCGAGUCUUUGAACGCACAUUGCGCCCCCUGGUAUUCCGGGGGGCAUGCCUGUCCGAGCGUCAUUGCUGCCCUCAAGCACGGCUUGUGUGUUGGGCCCCGUCCUCCGAUCCCGGGGGACGGGCCCGAAAGGCAGCGGCGGCACCGCGUCCGGUCCUCGAGCGUAUGGGGCUUUGUCACCCGCUCUGUAGGCCCGGCCGGCGCUUGCCGAUCAACCCAAAUUUUUUAUCCAGGUUGACCUCGGAUCAGGUAGGGAUACCCGCUGAACUUAAGCAUAUCAAUAACGGAGGA